AGAAGGAUGAGGCCAACAGACAACAAAGGCGAAGAACGCGAUUUAGAAUGUAAAGCUCCAGCAAAUGGAAAGUUUCCGGUGUCGACAAAUCGCCGAGUGGAGCUUACUUGCCUCCUGGACAUGAUCUCCUAAUACUAAGUAGUUUACAACAGAGUGUUGAGCCUUUAGAUCGAGAAAUGACAGGAGGAAAAGGAUUUUGGAUCUGCGAUUUGGUUUUAUGGCUACAGGAUAAGAAUAAUUAAAUUAAAGAAGUCUUAACUCCUUGCAAAAGUUGAAUUUACAGAGAAUUUUUUUUUUUUUUUUUUAAUCAGAAU
rnacentral:misc_RNA from 1 species